rnacentral:rRNA from 1 species
AUUGAACGCUGGCGGCAUGCCUAAUACAUGCAAGUCGAACGAGAGGAAGGAAAGCUUGCUUUUCUGAAUCUAGUGGCGAACGGGUGAGUAACACGUAGGUAACCUGCCCAUGUGCCCGGGAUAACUUCUGGAAACGGAUGCUAAAACCGGAUAGGUAGCAGACAAGCAUUUGACUGCUAUUAAAGUGGCUAAGGCCAUGAACAUGGAUGGACCUGCGGUGCAUUAGCUAGUUGGUGAGGUAACGGCCCACCAAGGCGACGAUGCAUAGCCGGCCUGAGAGGGCGGACGGCCACAUUGGGACUGAGACACGGCCCAAACUCCUACGGGAGGCAGCAGUAGGGAAUUUUCGUCAAUGGGGGGAACCCUGAACGAGCAAUGCCGCGUGAGUGAGGAAGGUCUUCGGAUCGUAAAGCUCUGUUGUAAGAGAAAAACGACAUUCAUAGGGAAUGAUGAGUGAGUGAUGGUAUCUUACCAGAAAGUCACGGCUAACUACGUGCCAGCAGCCGCCGUAAGAC